rnacentral:rRNA from 1 species
AUUGAACGCUGGCGGCAGGCCUAACACAUGCAAGUCGAACGGUAACAGGAAGAGGCUUGCUUCUUUGCUGACGAGUGGCGGACGGGUGAGUAAUGUCUGGGAAACUGCCUGAUGGAGGGGGAUAACUACUGGAAACGGUAGCUAAUACCGCAUAAUGUCGCAAGACCAAAGAGGGGGACCUUCGGGCCUCUUGCCAUCGGAUUUGCCCAGAUGGGAUUAGCUAGUAGGUGGGGUAACGGCUCACCUAGGCGACGAUCCCUAGCUGGUCUGAGAGGAUGACCAGCCACACUGGAACUGAGACACGGUCCAGACUCCUACGGGAGGCAGCAGUGGGGAAUAUUGCACAAUGGGCGAAAGCCUGAUGCAGCUAUGCCGCGUGUAUGAAGAAGGCCUUCGGGUUGUAAAGUACUGUCAGCGGGGAGGAAGGGAGUAAAGUUAAUACCUUCGCUCAUUGACGUUACCCGCAGAAGAAGCACCGGCUAACUCCGUG